UACGGAGGGCGCAAGCGUUGUCCGGAAUCACUGGGUGUAAAGGGUGCGUAGGCGGGAAGGUAAGUCAGUGGUGAAAUCUCACGGCUCAACCGUGAAACUGCCGUUGAUACUGCUUUUCUUGAGUUUGGGAGAGGUCGAUGGAAUUCCAGGUGUAGCGGUGAAAUGCGUAGAUAUCUGGAAGAACACCAGUGGCGAAGGCGGUCGCUGGCCCAUAACUGACGCUGAGGCACGAAAAGCGUGGGGGAGCGAACAGG
rnacentral:rRNA from 1 species